rnacentral:rRNA from 1 species
UACGUAGGUGGCAAGCGUUGUCCGGAGUUAUUGGGCGUAAAGCGCGCGCAGGCGGUGCGGUAAGUCUCUGGUGAAAGCGCUCGGCUUAACUGGGCGAGGGCCGGGGAGACUGCCACGCUGGAGGGGAGCAGAGGCGAGUGGAAUUCCGGGUGUAGUGGUGAAAUGCGUAGAUAUCAAGAGGAACACCUGAGGUGAAGACGGGUUGCUGGGCCGACACUGACGCUGAUGCGCGAAAGCCAGGGGAGCAAACGGG